rnacentral:rRNA from 1 species
GAUUGAACGUGCUUGCACGGACUUGACGUUGGUUUACCAGCGAGUGGCGGACGGGUGAGUAACACGUAGGUAACCUGCCCCAAAGCGGGGGAUAACAUUUGGAAACAGAUGCUAAUACCGCAUAACAAUUUGAAUCGCAUGAUUCAAAUUUAAAAGAUGGCUUCGGCUAUCACUUUGGGAUGGACCUGCGGCGCAUUAGCUUGUUGGUAGGGUAACGGCCUACCAAGGCUGUGAUGCGUAGCCGAGUUGAGAGACUGAUCGGCCACAAUGGAACUGAGACACGGUCCAUACUCCUACGGGAGGCAGCAGUAGGGAAUCUUCCACAAUGGGCGCAAGCCUGAUGGAGCAACACCGCGUGAGUGAAGAAGGGUUUCGGCUCGUAAAGCUCUGUUGUUAGAGAAGAACGUGCGUGAGAGCAACUGUUCACGCAGUGACGGUAUCUAACCAGAAAGUCACGGCUAACUACGUGCCAGCAGCCGCGGUAAUACGUAGGUGGCAAGCGUUAUCCGGAUUUAUUGGGCGUAAAGCGAGCGCAGGCGGUUUGAUAAGUCUGAUGUGAAAGCCUUUGGCUUAACCAAAGAAGUGCAUCGGAAACUGUCAGACUUGAGUGCAGAAGAGGACAGUGG